rnacentral:rRNA from 1 species
GGAGGUAGUGACAAUAAAUCACAAUGCGGAACUUUUGUUUUGCAAUUGGAUUGAGAACAACGCACAACACUUAUCGAUAAACAAUUGGAGGGCAAGUCUGGUGCCAGCAGCCGCGGUAAUUCCAGAUCCAAUAGCGUAUAUUAACGUUGUUGCAGUUAAAAAGCUCGUAGUUGAAGUGAAGUAAUGAAGUUGUGACUUGAUUUAUCAUUUCGCUCCUUAAUUACUCUUUCCAAACUGUUUGCACGGGUAUUCAUUUACUUGUGUAUUGCAUUUGGUCGUUUACUGUGAGAAAAUUAGAGUGUUCAAAGCAUACGUUUGUUUGAAUACAUUAGCAUGGAAUAAUUCGAAAAGGCUUUCAUGUUCGAUUUGAUUGGUUUGUUCGUGAGAGCAAGAUUAAAAGGGACAGUUGGGGGUAUUCAUAUUCAAUAGUCAGAGGUGAAAUUCUCGGAUUUAUGGAAGAUGAACAAGUGCGAAAGCA